CCUACGGGAGGCAGCAGUGAGGAAUAUUGGUCAAUGGCCGUAAGGCUGAACCAGCCAAGUAGCGUGAGGGAAGACUGCCCUAUGGGUUGUAAACCUCUUUUAUGCGGGGAUAAAGGUUUCCACGUGUGGCUGUUUGCAGGUACCGCAUGAAUAAGGACCGGCUAAUUCCGUGCCAGCAGCCGCGGUAAUACGGAAGGUCCGUGCGUUAUCCGGAUUUAUUGGGUUUAAAGGGAGGGUAGGCCGGUCUUUAAGCGUGCCGUGAAAUUUUGGGUCUCAACCCUGAGAGUGCGGCGGGGAAUGGGGAACUUGAGGGGGCGGAAGGGAGGCGGAAUUCGGGGUGGAGCGGUGAAAUGCGUAGAUAUCACGAAGAAACCCGAUUGGGAAGGGAG
rnacentral:rRNA from 1 species